AUUUGAUUAUAUCCCGGAGCUUAAGAGGGGUGGUGGAAGCUGAGGCUCCUGUAAUUGGGGGCAGAGGACAGGGGUGGGGCUCUCACUGGAGCAGACAGAAAGCAGACCCAUUCCUUUCUGGAUGUUUGUAGGUCACAUAACCUAGGCUUCAGGGUAGAAUUGAUAACUUGACCCCAAACUACAGUUGGUAAUCAAGCUUAUUCACUUGUACAUCAAAUCUUUAUUGAGCACCUACUGUGUCCUGAGCUCCAGGAGGACGGUAAGGCUCAAAUGGCCAGGCACUGCCUUCGUGGGUUGUACAGAUGAGUGGGUGUCACAAGUGAGUCCUCAUCAGAUAUUUCCACAAACCGGUAUUUGAAGAAAAACUGGGCUAGGAACCAUGAAGGGAUAGAGCUGAGGAGGGGGUCCUGUUUGGAUUGGGCACCACAGGUGGUUUCUCGGAGGAGGGGACCAGGUUCUGAAGGACUUGAGCUGGGAGGAAGUCGUUAAAGUUGCUAAAGGGAAGAAAGAGGAUCACGUGUGGAGGGACAGAAGAGCGUCUGCUUCAUUUGAGGGUCUGAAAGGCGGACGGAAAUGAGGACAGGGCUCCCAAGGGUGAAGCAGACAGAGCUUUCCAGAACUUGCAAAGAUGACAAAGGCUGGCUUUACACGAAACUGAGGUGGCCUCUCCUGGGUGCUUCCUUCUGUGGCAGUGCCUGCACCGUGUAUGCCUGUGUUCCCCCCACGCCCCUCCACAGAGCCUGCUCUUCAGAAAUAAUCUCAGGCCAGUGCCUCAAAUUAAAAGAAAGGAAGGAAAGGAAGGAAGGAAAAGAAGCAAAGUUUCUUAGAUGGCGAAACUGUGAGGGACAGAUAGGCAGGAUAUGAUCUCUGCCCCAGGAUGCUCACAGCCUCCUUAAUCUGUCCCCAUGGAAACAUCUGCAAGACCCUAAAGGCCCCUCUUGCACAGCCAGGUACCGCACCAGCACGCCGUGGAGGUGCAGAAAGUGCUAAGAGACGUUAUAAUGGAGUCUGGUGCCUCUUCUUGAUGGCCUGUGGGGCACGCAGGCUAACAGGCCUGAGUGUGUCUGCUAGCUGAGAAACAAUGGUGCUGAACUGGCCGGCAGGGGACCUGAGACCCUUUGCAUGUCUGGCAGGGGAAGUGCUGAUUCCAGGACUGGUUGGUGCAAGAGAAAAGAAUGGGGUAUUUUUUUUUUUAAUCCCCGCUUUAAUAAAUGACAAUGCUUCA